GCGUCGGUGGUUCAGUGGUAGAAUACUCGCCUGCCACGCGGGUGACCCGGGUUCGAUUCCCGGCCGACAGA
rnacentral:tRNA from 1 species